UGACAGGUGGUGCAUGGUUGUCGUCAGCUCGUGUCGUGAGAUGUUGGUUAAGUCCCGCAACGAGCGCAACCCUCGACCUUAGUUGCCAGCAUUCAGUUGGGCACUCUAAGGUGACUGCCGGCUAAAAGUCGGAGGAAGGUGGGGAUGACGUCAAAUCAUCAUGCCCCUUAUGACCUGGGCUACACACGUGCUACAAUGGGCGGUACAAAGGGUCGCGAACCCGCGAGGGGGAGCCAAUCCCAAAAAGCCGCUCUCAGUUCGGAUUGCAGGCUGCAACUCGCCUGCAUGAAGCCGGAAUCGCUAGUAAUCGCGGAUCAGCAUACCGCGGUGAAUACGUUCCCGGGCCUU
rnacentral:rRNA from 1 species